rnacentral:sRNA from 1 species
UUGCUAUCUGCAAUUUAUAAGAUUCGAACCUGCACAGGUCGAGUCGAACGCAGUGAGACAACGGAGCCGUUUACGGCGACGGCCCGAAGGGCGAGCGAAGCGAGUCAUCCUGCACGACCCACCA